rnacentral:rRNA from 1 species
GAUGAACGCUAGCGAUAGGCUUAACACAUGCAAGUCGAGGGGCAGCACAAGGUAGCUUGCUAUCUGGGUGGCGACCGGCGCACGGGUGCGUAACGCGUAUGCAACUUGCCCUAUACAGGAGGAUAACCCGUCGAAAGACGGACUAAUACUGCGUAUGCUCACAACUUGGCAUCAAGUGGUGAGGAAAGAAAUUCGGUAUAGGAUAGGCAUGCGUCCCAUUAGCUUGUUGGUGAGGUAACGGCUCACCAAGGCAACGAUGGGUAGGGGAACUGAGAGGGUUAUCCCCCACACUGGUACUGAGACACGGACCAGACUCCUACGGGAGGCAGCAGUGAGGAAUAUUGGUCAAUGGGCGCGAGCCUGAACCAGCCAAGUCGCGUGAAGGAUGACUGUCUUAUGGAUUGUAAACUUCUUUUAUACGGGAAUAACAAGAGUCACGUGUGACUCCCUGCAUGUACCGUAUGAAUAAGCAUCGGCUAACUCCGUG